UACGGAGGGGGUUAGCGUUGUUCGGAAUGACUGGGCGUAAAGCGCGCGUAGGCGGGCUGGAAAGUUGGGGGUGAAAUCCCGGGGCUCAACCCCGGAAUGGCCUUCAAAACUCCCAGCCUAGAGUUCGAGAGAGGUGAGUGGAAUUCCGAGUGUAGAGGUGAAAUUCGUAGAUAUUCGGAGGAACACCAGUGGCGAAGGCGGCUCACUGGCUCGACACUGACGCUGAGACGCGAAAGCGUGGGGAGCAAACAGG
rnacentral:rRNA from 1 species